rnacentral:lncRNA from 1 species
AUCAGAGGAAUGAAGCUUAUUUUUCCUCAGGCUGUUUGUUUGUGUUUCACCUGCUCCGACCAUCGGUCUAUCAGUCGGUCUUCAUCUAAUGACAUUAACGGCUCGGUCCUCACUGCGCCCCGGAGCGGAUUAACUCACACCGGCUGAUCGGGAAUGAAGACGCGUCCCUGUUCUCGUCCUUAGCGAGGGGAUGGACGACCAUGGUGAGAGCUGUAGCUUUAAGAGGCGCCUUCAUGGAGCCCUGACACACAGGGCAGAGAGCAGGUGAGUGUGUGUGUGUUAGCGUGACAUUUUUUAAUUUGAAAUUAAUUAUUUCAAAUGAAAUUAUACAGAAUUAAAGUAUUCUGCUUCGUGUUUACAUGAAAA